CCAAAUAGCACGUGAGGCCACUGGAGUCUGCAAAACCUUCCUUCCACCGACUGAGUUCCCUGCUGAUGCUAUUUGGAUAAUGUCUAAUUUGCCCUGCGUUUCAGAGAAGAUGGCUAUCUUGCAUAUAACUUAAGAGAAUCCCCCCCAGCUAAAAAUAGAAUUAUCUUAGGAAACACAUUUUUUCUAGGUGUUUUCUCCCUUAAGUCACAUAUUCUAGACUGCAGGCUGGGCCCACUCAGGAGUGACUCUCGCCAGGGUGAGAGAAUCUUGCACGAGUGCCUGUCACUCACCAGCUAAGCAUGGAAAAGUACUCCUGGAAAUGUGGCUCCUGGACUCUCUUCUUCAUCCCAGGUGUGUCUUCACUGCGGAGCUGCGCCAACACCUUUCUGCUUUACAACAUCCUUUGCUUACACAAGCCAUCAGGGCGUUCCUGCCAUUCCACCUACCUACCUGGAAACCCAGGUUCCUGUUUCUAAGGAUGAGAUCAGGAAGACAACAGAUUUCUGACUUCUUUUGGAGAAUUAAAAAAUCUGGGACUAGAAGGCUAUUUCCACUUAGCAACUUUCAGAUGGAUCUGACACAGUAACCCACAAAAUGAAUAUGGCCAAACACAGAAGACCAUCUCAUGGCCUGAGGAUCAUGGAGGCGCUCUGUUACUCCCUUCCAGAGAACCUACUGUAGGAAGCAUCACUGACUGAUGGCUUCCCAUGGACACAUCUUUGGAUUCACCACAAUGCUUAUGCCAAGCCUCACUUCUCUCAAGCUACUCUCUGCCAGUAACUAAGCACAACAGGGUACUGGAAUCUAGUCAUCCUUCCCAAUGUGGGAUUUUUCCAAGUGGCAACAUUGCCUUGGAUACUCCCCAUCAGCCUGGCCAAAAUUUUCUGCACUUUGAAACUCUGCCUACUCCAUUGAUCCUUCUCUCCUUCCACGAGUAUUAGAUCUGCAACAUGAUCUGAGGACCCUUCUUACCUGCUCCUGAUUCCCAACCCCUUUUCCUUUACGUGGCCCUCAAGGAUCCCCCUACUCCUGGUAUCCACACCCUUGCAUAGACAUCUCCAAGAUUAGGUUAUAAAAGAGGGGGUCUUCUGUUUUGGGUGCACUUUCUUGCUUGCUUUUGUAAUAUUUCUCUCUGUCUGUCUCUGAUUGCUUGCUCACUCUGAGGAGAACAAAUGCCAUGCUGUGAGCAACCUGUAGAAAGGCCUACAUAAUAAGGAAAUAAAGUUUAUCAGCAAUGUUGGUGAGAGACUGAGACCACUAACAACCAUGUGAGUGAGCCUGGAAGCAGCGACUCUGACCACAGGCAAGCAGGAGAUGAUUAUCUUCCUAGCCAACAACUGGACUGCAACUUCCCGAGAGACUCUGUGCCAGAACCAUCCAACUAAGCCACGUUUAGAUUCUUGACUCUCAGAAAAUGUUAGAUGUAAUAAAUACUUGUUGUUUAAAGCUAAAGUAUAUCGGAGUGCAAAUGAGUGAGAGUGGCAUUGCUUCAGGGUUACUAUUAAACUUCCUCUUGGAAAGAAAAAGAAAGAUAAGAAUUCACAAAUGUUUGGUGUUCUUAUUAUUUAGAACACGUUUCUUGUGAUGCAUCUCACAACUGGUAGGUCUCCUUUCAUCGUGGAUCUCAGCUGCAGAAGGCUGAUCUGUAUGGAUUACAUCAACAGGCUCCCAUCCCUCCUGCUUUGGUUUGAGCUCAACCAACACAGAGUCCUGGCAGGAAAUCACAAGCACAGAGAAGAGCCUGUCAGGGAUCUGAUUACUGGAUCCUGCCUCUGGAUAUGCGGCUGGUAAAGACUGGAAAGAACUAGAAAAUGAUGUAUAUGAGCUUGGAGGAUUUAUCCAGAGAAAUUCCCAACCAGAGCUGAUCUGCGUUUUACCUUCUCUGAAGUUGGUAGCUGAGGACUGAGUCUGUCUUCCAUUCACCUGGGCACCUUGCAAAAGCAUUUUUCUUCCCAUUUAGCUUUUGUUCACCUUUUACUCAUUUUCCCAGUUAUUCUCAGUGAGUGGAGAUGCAUUGGAUGAAAAUCACUGGACUACUGG
ensembl:lncRNA